GCCGGGUAUUGUGGUGGGCGCCUGUAGUCCCAGCUACUCUGGAGGCUGAGGCAAGAUAAUCACCUAAGCCUAAGAGUUGGAGGUUGUUGUGAGCUGUGAUGCCACGGAGCUCUACAGAGGGUGACAAAGUGAGACUCUGUCUCUUAAAAAAAAAAAGGUCUCAACCCCCUACCAGGAGACAUUUCUUUCUUCUUUACUUUCCUCUUUCUUUUUAGAGACUGAGUCUCAGUUUGUCGCCCUUGGUAGAGAGCUAUGACAUCACAGCUCACAGCAACCUCCAGCUCUUGGGCUUAGGUGAUUCUCUUGCCUCAG
rnacentral:SRP_RNA from 1 species